UCACUUAAAUCAAAGUUUUUUGGUUUGUGCCGAAAUAUAGCCUUGUGCAGUUUUUUCAACUUGCCUUUGUGACAUCUAUUUUGUAUUGUUUUGUUUACCUGUGUUUAUAUUAAUUUAUUCAACUUUUAUAUAUUUGCAUUGUAUAUAGAAUGAUGAAAUUGUUUUUCAUAGGUAAAAUUGUGAAAUGAUGCCUUAUAACUACAUUUUUACAUAUCCAUGACCAUUUUCUGAUGAAGAUGAUAAUUUUAGUCUACAUUCUACAUAUGAUAUAUAUUUUACUGAAGAUUUUGUUCUUGUUAUGGAGUGAUUAUGAAUAUUAUGUCCCAGAUAUAUUUCUGUAAAUGAUUUAGAGAAAUAAUUUACAUAUGUUUUAAUAAACUACAUAUUAUCUAGUAAAUAAACAUUUAUUCUAGCUAGCUUGAAUUAGUUG
rnacentral:misc_RNA from 1 species